rnacentral:rRNA from 1 species
UACGUAGGCAGCAAGCGUUGUUCGGAGUUACUGGGCGUAAAGGGUGUGUAGGCGGUUGUUUAAGUUUGGUGUGAAAUCUCCCGGCUCAACUGGGAGGGUGCGCCGAAUACUGAAUGACUAGAGUGCGGGAGAGGUGAGUGGAAUUCCUGGUGUAGCGGUGAAAUGCGUAGAUAUCAGGAGGAACACCGGUGGUGUAGACGGCUCACUGGACCGUAACUGACGCUGAGGCACGAAAGCUAGGGGAGCAAACGGG